CUCCAUUUUAAGUCGGGCUUGCAGACAGUGUGCCUUCUGGCAGGUUCUGCUUUGGAAGAGAAGUGGUUAACAAUAUUAUCCGACAAAAAGACCCCUGGUGCACAGUGGUUUGUUUUUAUUUUUGUUUUUGUUUUGUUUUGCGUAGGGCUUGUUCCCGUAGUCCCUGGCUCAUUUCUGCACUAUAUCUCCUUUUUGGGGAGUGGGGUGGGGCCUCAGGGCCUGAGGGGUCCAGAAGAAGAAAGGAAGCAGAGAGGAUCCUGGAGAUUUUCUGCGAGACAGCUGGAGGAAAUCCUGUGUACUCUGCAUUCAACAUGAUUCCCAAACAAAGUGGAUCUGAACUGAUGCCUUUCUGGGGGAAGAGCCUAUUUUCCAUCUGGGAAAGUGCCUCUUUGUGUGGUGUGAGGAAACAGCAGUCCAUAGUACCUCAGGCAGCUUGUGAGGACCAGCCUUCUUACCAGAUCAAGUUUUCACUCCACAGACCUGCCUUUCUCUCAAGGAACCCCUCCAGAGUGGAGCCCCACCCUUCCCAGCUUGGGUUGAUUCGUUGCGUGAUUCUGCAGGUGGAUUAGCAGGAAUAAUGGACUUAAUAGCCACCACCUAUGUGCAAGGGUCUUUGGGACUGCAUUGGACUGAUUGAAGUGCCUACCUCAAUCGGCAAAUGCAAAUUGCAAUCAAGAAAAGAAUCCAGAACUCAGGGCAAGAGAUGCAGAGACAAACAUCAGAACAGAGACAUGAGGCAAAACCAGGUAUAAGAAAUCAUUCAAGAAAGAAAAGAGAAAUCAUUCCGUGUCAGAAGCCAAUAUCAUCAGAAGCAGCUCAUAUAUACUGUGUCGUUUUUCCCAAGGAAGGAACCAUGAAGGAAGGGGAAUGUCUGCUUGGGAUUGGAGCUCUUGAUAUUCCUGUCCCUUCUCAUGUUUAAGGUCCUGGGACUAAGAUCUGAGACUGCAGUCCAGGCCUCAGGAAACCUCUCAAGAUGCGGAUGCAGUCCCCACCAUGUGUCCUAAUUGUCUUGCUCUGGUGACCCUCGUUACCUCUCUGCCUCUUCACUUAGAUUCUUCAGGUCAGUUGUCCAGCUGGACUUUCUAUGUGGCUUUGUGCAUAAUAAACAUGGUCUGUGUCAUAUAGUUUUGGGAUCUCUGAUUUAGUAUAUCCUGCUUCAGCCCCAAAACGCCAAUAUCUAGGUGUUUAUCAAAGAGGAGAGUUAAAGUUAUAAAAAAGAAAUGACAAAAUGAAUAGAGGAUUGAUUACCUUCUUGUUACGUCCUUAAAAUGGUUGAAUGCAUUUGCAGAGUCACACUUGCAGUUAUCAUGAUCAGCGGCAGUUAAAAUGGUGUAAUGAACCCACAACUUUAUGACUGUAGCUCCAGAUGAACACGAUAGAUCACCCUACUGUACAAGAAACAGCACCCAAUUCAGCUGUGGUUUCCACUUACAGAAAUCUUCCUCAGAAAAGGAGCGGAGUCACUGCAGGGAAAUGCCAUUAAUGCUCACCCAAGUGAGAAGAAUCUAUAUCAUGGGGAGGGAAAUAGCCACAGAACACCAGAUGUUUGCUAAUUAUUUUCAAAUGAAAUUGACUAGACUAAGUUUUAAACAAAGAUAAUCUGAGAGGGUAAAAUAAUGUUAUUCUUCCCUUGACUUUUAUAAGUAGGGGUAAUUAAUCUAGCUGCAGUAUUGCCUCUGUCCAGUCCUAUCUCCAGUAAUUAAAUCCUUGCUUUUGACACAGGAGUUAUAUUCAGUGUCUGUAUGGCUGGGUACUGGUUAGCUCGGGAGUUUCUGCAAAGCUUCCCUUUCCUACCUCCCCUCUGUUCUCCCUAUGUAUAAACUGUUCCCCAUCUUACCUCCUUCUUCUUGGCCUGCUAUGUUUGAAUUCAAUGUAAAGUGGCUUAGAACUUCCCACCUCAAGACUGACUGAAGGGCACAUCAGAUGAUGUCUCCAGGAAUCUCCAAAUUAUUUGAGCCUGCAGGCCUCUAAAGGUUUGGGCAAGAACCCAGCAGUUUUGACAGGUGCAUCUCUACUCUUCUUGGGUUAUAAGCUAAUUCUGGAAAGCAUAGACCUUCAUUCACGAGGAACAAUAAGUGAAAACACUGAAGCAGAGCAAAAUUAAAGCUGUGUUUCAAAGGAA